UACGUAGGGGGCAAGCGUUGUCCGGAUUUAUUGGGUUUAAAGGGUGCGUAGGCGGUCUAUUAAGUCAGUGGUGAAAGCCCCAAGCUCAACUUGGGAACUGCCAUUGAUACUGAUGGACUUGAGUACAUUUGAGGUGGGCGGAAUGUGUCAUGUAGCGGUGAAAUGCUUAGAUAUGACACAGAACACCGAUUGCGAAGGCAGCUCACUAAACUGUAACUGACGCUGAGGCACGAAAGCGUGUGGAGCAAACAGG
rnacentral:rRNA from 1 species